GACAGAGGGUGCAAACGUUGUUCGGAAUACUGGGCGUAAAGCGUGUGUAGGCGGUCUCAUAAGUCGGAUGUGAAAGCCCCGGGCUCAACCCGGGAAGUGCAUUCGAAACUGCGAGGCUAGAGUAUCGGAGAGGUUGGUGGAAUUCUCGGUGUAGAGGUGAAAAUUCGUAGAUAUCGAGAGGAACACCGGUGGCGAAGGCGGCCAACUGGACGAAUACUGACGCUGAGACACGAAAAGCGUGGGGGAGCAAAACAGG
rnacentral:rRNA from 1 species